rnacentral:rRNA from 1 species
GACGAACUGCCCAACCGUUGUUCGGAAUCACUGGGCUUAAAGGGCGCGUAGGCGGCGAUACAAGUCAGGGGUGAAAUCCGGCAGCUUAACUGUCGAAGUGCCUUUGAUACUGUGUCGCUCGAGGGAGGUAGGGGUCUGUGGAACUUCUGGUGGAGCGGUGAAAUGCGUUGAUAUCAGAAGGAACGCCGGUGGCGAAAGCGACGGACUGGACCUUUUCUGACGCUGAGGCGCGAAAGCUAGGGGAGCAAACGGG